AAUGGGUCAGCGACUUAUAUUCUGUAGCAAGGUUAACCGCAUAGGGGAGCCGGAGGGAAACCGAGUCUUAAUUGGGCGUUAAGUUGCAGGGUAUAGACCCGAAACCCGGUGAUCUAGCCAUGGGCAGGUUGAAGGUUGGGUAACACUAACUGGAGGACCGAACCGACUAAUGUUGAAAAAUUAGCGGAUGACCUGUGGCUGGGGGUGAAAGGCCAAUCAAACCGGGAGAUAGCUGGUUCUCCCCGAAAGCUAUUUAGGUAGCGCCUCGUGAAUUCAUCUCCGGGGGUAGAGCACUGUUUCGGCUAGGGGGCCAUCCCGGCUUACCAACCCGAUGCAAACUGCGAAUACUGGAGAAUGUUAUCACGGGAGACACACGGCGGGUGCUAACGUCCGUCGUGAAGAGGGAAACAACCCAGACCGCCAGCUAAGGUCCCAAAGUCAUGGUUAAGUGGGAAACGAUGUGGGAAGGCCCAGACAGCCAGGAUGUUGGCUUAGAAGCAGCCAUCAUUUAAAGAAAGCGUAAUAGCUCACUGGUCGAGUCGGCCUGCGCGGAAGAUGUAACGGGGCUAAACCAUGCACCGAAGCUGCGGCAGCGAACGUAUCACUUAAAGCGAUUCAGCGGGUUACGAUUGACGGAGCGAAGCGACGUCAAAGCGUAUACAAAGUCGAGUCGGUUUAAGGAUACGUUCGUUGGGUAGGGGAGCGUUCUGUAAGCCUGCGAAGGUGGCCUGUGAGGGUUGCUGGAGGUAUCAGAAGUGCGAAUGCUGACAUAAGUAACGAUAAAGCGGGUGAAAAGCCCGCUCGCCGGAAGACCAAGGGUUCCUGUCCAACGUUAAUCGGGGCAGGGUGAGUCGACCCCUAAGGCGAGGCCGAAAGGCGUAGUCGAUGGGAAACGGGUUAAUAUUCCCGUACUUGGUGUUACUGCGAAGGGGGGACGGAGAAGGCUAUGUUGGCCGGGCGACGGUUGUCCCGGUUUAAGCGUGUAGGUGUGUGUUCCAGGUAAAUCCGGUUCACUUUAACACUGAGGCGUGACGACGAGGCACUACGGUGCUGAAGCAACAAAUGCCCUGCUUCCAGGAAAAGCCUCUAAGCAUCAGGUAACAUCAAAUCGUACCCCAAACCGACACAGGUGGUCAGGUAGAGAAUACCAAGGCGCUUGAGAGAACUCGGGUGAAGGAACUAGGCAAAAUGGUGCCGUAACUUCGGGAGAAGGCACGCUGACACGUAGGUGAAGUGAUUUACUCAUGGAGCUGAAGUCAGUCGAAGAUACCAGCUGGCUGCAACUGUUUAUUAAAAACACAGCACUGUGCAAACACGAAAGUGGACGUAUACGGUGUGACGCCUGCCCGGUGCCGGAAGGUUAAUUGAUGGGGUCAGCGCAAGCGAAGCUCCUGAUCGAAGCCCCGGUAAACGGCGGCCGUAACUAUAACGGUCCUAAGGUAGCGAAAUUCCUUGUCGGGUAAGUUCCGACCUGCACGAAUGGCGUAAUGAUGGCCAGGCUGUCUCCACCCGAGACUCAGUGAAAUUGAACUCGCUGUGAAGAUGCAGUGUACCCGCGGCAAGACGGAAAGACCCCGUGAACCUUUACUAUAGCUUGACACUGAACAUUGAGCCUUGAUGUGUAGGAUAGGUGGGAGGCUUUGAAGUGUGGACGCCAGUCUGCAUGGAGCCGACCUUGAAAUACCACCCUUUAAUGUUU
rnacentral:rRNA from 1 species